GGGGGUACAGCUCAAGUGGUAGAGCACAUGCUUAGCAUGCACAAGGUCCUAGGUUCAAUCCCCAGUACCUCCU
rnacentral:tRNA from 1 species